rnacentral:rRNA from 1 species
GUACACUCCUGCGGGAGGCAACAGUGGGGAAUAUUGGACAAUGGGCGCAAGCCUGAUCCAGCCAUGCCGCGUGAGUGAUGAAGGCCCUAGGGUUGUAAAGCUCUUUCACCGGUGAAGAUAAUGACGGUAACCGGAGAAGAAGCCCCGGCUAACUUCGUGCCAGCAGCCGCGGUAAUACGAAGGGGGCUAGCGUUGUUCGGAUUUACUGGGCGUAAAGCGCACGUAGGCGGACUAUUAAGUCAGGGGUGAAAUCCCGGGGCUCAACCCCGGAACUGCCUUUGAUACUGGUAGUCUUGAGUUCGAGAGAGGUGAGUGGAAUUCCGAGUGUAGAGGUGAAAUUCGUAGAUAUUCGGAGGAACACCAGUGGCGAAGGCGGCUCACUGGCUCGAUACUGACGCUGAGGUGCGAAAGCGUGGGGAGCAAACAGGAUUAGAAACCCUUGUAGUCCCA